AUUGCUUUUCGGCCUUUUGGUUAAGGUCAAGCGUGGUAUCUAUUCUUAUCAAUUUAAUAUCUGAUAUGUUCUGUAAAUGAAAAUGUUAUAUCAAGCAGAUUAUUUUUUUUUUUUUUAGAACAGGGAGCUGGAAUGGGGUUUUGCUCCUAUCAACCUGAUAUUGUAGUAUUUUCAGGAAUAAUGCCUUUGCU